CCAAUAGCGUAUAUUAAAGUUGUUGCAGUUAAAAAGCUCGUAGUUGAAUUUCGGGAUCAGUACGUUGGUCGUGCCUUGGUAUGUACUGGUGUCACUGAUUCCUCCCUUCUGACGAACCGUCAUGCCAUUCACUUGGUGUGGCGGGAAAUCAGGACUGUUACUUUGAAAAAAUUAGAGUGUUUAAAGCAGGCUCGCGCUUGAAUACAUUAGCAUGGAAUAAUGAAAUAGGACGUUAAUCCUAUUUUGUUGGUUUCUAGGAUCGACGUAAUGAUUAAUAGUGAUAGUUGGGGGCAUUAGUAUUCAAUUGUCAGAGGUGAAAUUCUUGGAUUUAUUGAAGACUAACUACUGCGAAAGCAUUUGCCAAGGAUGUUUUCAUUAAUCAAGAACGAAAGUUAGGGGAUCGAAGACGAUCAGAUACCGUCGUAGUCUUAACCAUAAACUAUGCCGACUAGGGAUCGGAUGAUGUUAAUUUUUUAAUGACUCAUUCGGCGCCUUACG
rnacentral:rRNA from 1 species